rnacentral:rRNA from 1 species
GAUGAACGCUGGCGGCGUGCUUAACACAUGCAAGUCGAACGGGAAAUAUUUCAUUGAGACUUCGGUGGAUUUGAUUUAUUUCUAGUGGCGGACGGGUGAUUAACGCGUGGGUAACCUGCCUUAUACAGGGGGAUAACAGUCAGAAAUGGCUGCUAAUACCGCAUAAGCGCACAGAGCUGCAUGGCUCAGUGUGAAAAACUCCGGUGGUAUAAGAUGGACCCGCGUUGGAUUAGCUAGUUGGUGGGGUAACGGCCCACCAAGGCGACGAUCCAUAGCCGGCCUGAGAGGGUGAACGGCCACAUUGGGACUGAGACACGGCCCAGACUCCUACGCGAGGCAGCAGUGGGGAAUAUUGCACAAUGGGGGAAACCCUGAUGCAGCGACGACGCGUGAAGGAAGAAGUAUCUCGGUAUGUAAACUUCUAUCAGCAGGGAAGAUAGUGACGGUACCUGACGAAGAAGCCCCGGCUAACUACGUG